rnacentral:misc_RNA from 1 species
AUAGUGAAUAGUUGGUGUUCUCGUGUGUGGAGAGUGUCCCUAUGAACUUUGCGAAUUCGUUAUCGUUGUGCUCCUUUAUUUUGUUUUUUAUUUCCUUUGCAAGUUUGUUUAAGUGUUUUUUGUUUUCUCGGGUUCUGUAUUUUUGCCAUUUUGCUUUUGCUUUUCUUUUUUCUUUGAUUUUGUCGAGUAUUUCUUGCGGGAUUGUUAUUGUUUGUCUGCUGGUUGGUUCGGGAGUAGUCUUUGCCUGGUUUAUGUAACAUUUUGAUCUGUGCUAAUUUCCAUGGUUUGGGGAAGUAUUGAAUUCUUA